GACAGAGGGUGCAAACGUUGUUCGGAAUUACUGGGCGUAAAGCGCACGUAGGCGGCUUUGCAAGUUAGAGGUGAAAGCCCGGGGCUCAACUCCGGAAUUGCCUUUAAAACUGCAUCGCUAGAAUUGUGGAGAGGUAAGUGGAAUUCCGAGUGUAGAGGUGAAAUUCGUAGAUAUUCGGAAGAACACCAGUGGCGAAGGCGACUUACUGGACACAUAUUGACGCUGAGGUGCGAAAGCGUGGGGAGCAAACAGG
rnacentral:rRNA from 1 species